UCCAGACUCCUACGGGAGGCAGCAGUGGGGAAUAUUGCACAAUGGGGGAAACCCUGAUGCAGCGACGCCGCGUGAGUGAAGAAGCGCCUCGGCGCGUAAAGCUCUGUCAGCAGGAACGAUAAUGACGGUACCUGAAGAAGAAGCCCCGGCUAACUACGUGCCAGCAGCCGCGGUAAUACGUAGGGGGCAAGCGUUAUCCGGAUUUACUGGGUGUAAAGGGAGCGUAGACGGCGGGGCAAGUCUGGAGUGAAAGGCCGGGGCCCAACCCCGGGACCGCUCUGGAAACUGCCCGGCUGGAGUGCGGGAGAGGUAAGCGGAAUUCCUAGUGUAGCGGUGAAAUGCGUAGAUAUCAGGAGGAACACCGGCGGCGAAGGCGGCCUGCUGGACCGCGACUGACGUUGAGGCUCGAAAGCGUGGGGAGCGAACAGGAUUAGAUACCCCGGUAGUA
rnacentral:rRNA from 1 species